GACGAACGCUGGCGGCGUGCCUAACACAUGCAAGUCGAACGGGGCUCUUUGGAUCGAGACUUCGGUCAAGUGAAUCUGAGCUUAGUGGCGGACGGGUGAGUAACGCGUAGGUAACCUGCCUGGUAGCGGGGGAUAACUAUUGGAGACGAUAGCUAAUACCGCAUAAAAUUGAUUAUUGCAUGAUAAUUAAUUGAAAGAUGCAAUUGCAUCACUACCAGAUGGACCUGCGUUGUAUUAGCUAGUUGGUGAGGUAACGGCUCACCAAGGCGACGAUACAUAGCCGACCUGAGAGGGUGAUCGGCCACACUGGGACUGGGACACGGCCCAG
rnacentral:rRNA from 1 species